GCUAGGAAGCUCCCUUAAGUCUUUCUCUCAAGUCCACAGGUUCACACACCAAUAGAAAGACUAGACUCAUCUCAUUUCUUAUUCACACUUUCUCAAAGAAAUUAGAAGACUCAAGAAACUCUCUUCCUCUCUCAUGCCUAUGGGUCCAACACCAAAAAGAAAGAAAACUCUCUCAAGCUCUCUACCUCUCAUACUUUUGGGUCCAGCCACUAGGAAAGGGAAAUUAUUUCAUGCAAGAGUGAUUUAUUUCUAUUUCCCCUCAAGAACCAUAAAUUUGGUGUUACCAGUUCCCCAAGUCUAAGCUCCUUCGACUGUAGGCCCUCGAUUCCUCUGCUUUCAGUCAACAGGUUUUAUUUUGGAGCAGAGGGAGCCUUAGUCGAGUUUUGGAAGAAGCUGGUUUUAGUUUUGUGUGUAUAGAUCCUAAAUUAGCAAUUUGAUGUUUAGAUUUGUAGUAUGGUCUAUUUUAGGAUCUAAUGAAAGUAGUGUACCUUAAAGUAUUAAGAGAUGUAUUAUGUGAAAGUGUGGAUAUUGAAUAAUUGGUUCUUGUUAAUACCAAGUUUAGGCUUGAUAUUAACAUGCUGGUCAUGGUCACAAAUUCGGGUAUCGGGUUUGGGGUGUGACAGUAUCCCCUUUGCUUGUAGUUUUUCAAAUACUUGGCUCACGGGUAUAUAUAACUCAUGAAAUUCCCUCCUAGGCCUUAGAGGAGGCCCUUGUGAUAUUUGCAUGGGGGCAAUGGGAGCAAUAAGUUGGUAAGGAUCAUUUUUGUA